rnacentral:rRNA from 1 species
GGGUUGUGAGGUUAAGCGACUAAGCGUACACGGUGGAUGCCCUGGCAGUCAGAGGCGAUGAAGGGCGUGCUAAUCUGCGAUAAGCGCCGGUAAGGUGAUAUGAACCGUUAUAACCGGCGAUACCCGAAUGGGGAAACCCAGUGUGAUUCGUCACACUAUCAUUAACUGAAUCCAUAGGUUAAUGAGGCGAACCGGGGGAACUGAAACAUCUAAGUACCCCGAGGAAAAGAAAUCAACCGAGAUUCCCCCAGUAGCGGCGAGCGAACGGGGAGGAGCCCAGAGCCUGAAUCAGCAUGUGUGUUAGUGGAAGCGUCUGGAAAGGCGCGCGAUACAGGGUGACAGCCCCGUACACAAAAGCGCAUGUGCUGUGAGCUCGAUGAGUAGGGCGGGACACGUGGUAUCCUGUCUGAAUAUGGGGGGACCAUCCUCCAAGGCUAAAUACUCCUGACUGACCGAUAGUGAACCAGUACCGUGAGGGAAAGGCGAAAAGAACCCCGGCGAGGGGAGUGAAAAAGAACCUGAAACCGUGUACGUACAAGCAGUGGGAGCCCCACCACUAAGCCAGUGGUGAACUCCACAUACGCAUCCUUUGCUGAAGGCAAUGGUUAACGGAGCGAAAGCGACGUUCAACCGCAAAACAAGCAGAGGGGGCUUAGUGGUGGGGUGACUGCGUACCUUUUGUAUAAUGGGUCAGCGACUUAUAUUCUGUAGCAAGGUUAACCGAAUAGGGGAGCCGUAGGGAAACCGAGUCUUAAU